GCCUCUGUGGGGUAGUUGGUUAUCCCGUGAGUCUCAUAAUCUCAAGGUCAGGAGUUCGAUCCUCCUCGGAGGCA
rnacentral:tRNA from 1 species